AGAAACUAAUGGUGUUUUGUAUUUUAGUUGUGAUCAGCCGUAGUGCAGCGCAAUACGAAAACAAUUUUAUGGCAACUUUUGGAUGUCUACAAUACAACGCCCACGAUGGCUACGGAGCAACUCAUCCAUAUUUUCCAAUAGCCAGUUUUCGGUACAUUCACUCUACGGCCAAUGUGACCCGAAUUCGAGUGGGAGUUCUUGGAAGAAACGACGGCUACAUCCGGCUUGCACCGGUUGAAUAUCCUUUCGACAACGCCGUAAUGCAUGAAAUUGUUCUCGACCAGCGAUCCGCAGUUCGUCGGUAUAUUCGUGCAGCACCCAACAUCGUCAGAGACACCGUUGUUCUACGGGAACAAGCCACCAAUGGUUUGCUCUCACAGUUUAAAUCAUUGUUUGUUACGAUUGAAUUUUAUCCCAAUUUACUUACUUACUUAUGUGUCCAUGUCCGCCGGUCCGGCAGAACAAAGGGAUGAAAUCAGAGAUCUCCACUGCUGACGGU